GGACAACCUGCCCUGAGGACUGGAAUAAUCCCGGGAAACUGGGGGUAAUUCCAGAUAUGUCAGAACUCCUGGAAUGGGUUCUGGCAGAAAUGCUCCGGCGCCUCAGGAUGGGUCUGCGGCCUAUCAGGGUAGUAGUGGGUGUAACGUACCCACUAGCCUACGACGGGUACGGGUUGUGAGAGCAAGAGCCCGGAGAUGGAUUCUGAGACAUGAAUCCAGGCCCUACGGGGUGCAGCAGGCGCGAAAACUUUACAAUGCGGGCAACCGCGAUAAGGGGACCUCGAGUGCUGGGCUACAAACCUGGCUGUUGGGCUGCCUAAAAAGCAGUCUAUAGCAAGGGCCGGGCAAGACCGGUGCCAGCCGCCGCGGUAACACCGGCGGCUCGAGUGGUAACCGCUGUUAUUGGGUCUAAAGGGUCUGUAGCCUGCCGGCUAAGUCUCUUGGGAAAUCUGGCAUCUCAAGUGUCAGGCUGCCAGGGGAUACUGGUCAGCUUGGGACCGGGAGAGGUGAGAGGUACCUCAGGGGUAGGGGUGAAAUCUUGUAAUCCUUGAGGGACCACCAGUGGCGAAGGCGUCUCACCAGAACGGAUCCGACGGCAAGGGACGAAAGCUAGGGGCACGAACCGGAUUAGAUACCCGGGUAGUCCUAGCCGUAAACGAUACUCGCUAGGUGUCGGCCACGGUGCGACCGUGGUCGGUGCCGUAGGGAAGCCGUGAAGCGAGCCACCUGGGAAGUACGGCCGCAAGGCUGAAACUUAA
rnacentral:rRNA from 1 species